CAGUGGGGCAGGAUUCUGUGGAAUAGACGUAAAGUGGGAUUGCUUAAACUGCCGUAGGCCAUAGUGUGCCCUCCGCUGUGCUCGUCGCGUGAGGACUGCUGCGUCUAUUGGCAAUGUUCUCAAACAAUGUCACGUUGCCAAGAGAUUGCGUCGCUAGGGUUUGGCAUUACGCGAAUUGCCUGCUGAAUCGAGGGAAUUAUAUUGAGCUCUUUGCUAUGGUGACGUUCAUUUCAGUGGAAAACUUCUAUGCACUG
rnacentral:lncRNA from 1 species